rnacentral:ribozyme from 1 species
ACUGUGCAUGGAAGAAAAAAAAAAAAAAAAAAAAAAAAAAAAAAA